rnacentral:snoRNA from 1 species
UGAUGGCUGUUCCUCUCACUGCUUGGAGCCUUAGGUAGUGGGAUUUUAGUCCAUCAUAUAUCUAAGCUGAUUUGUCUUCACUCAGAGCACCGUGGAGAUGGGUUGGCUGUCCAUUAGUGCCUUCUGAUUUUUGCAGAGUCAAACAAUU